rnacentral:rRNA from 1 species
CCUACGGGCGGCAGCAGUGAGGAAUAUUGGUCAAUGGACGAGAGUCUGAACCAGCCAAGUAGCGUGAAGGAUGACUGCCCUAUGGGUUGUAAACUUCUUUUAUAAAGGAAUAAAACGAGGCACGUGUGCUUUUUUGCAUGUACCUUAUGAAUAAGGAUCGGCUAACUCCGUGCCAGCAGCCGCGGUAAUACGGAGGAUCCGAGCGUUAUCCGGAUUUAUUGGGUUUAAAGGGAGCGUAGAUGGGUUGUUAAGUCAGUUGUGAAAGUUUGCGGCUCAACCGUAAAAUUGCAGUUGAGACUGGCAGUCUGGAGUACAGUUGAGGUGGGCGGAAUUCGUGGUGUAGCGGUGAAAUGCUUAGAUAUCACGAAGAACCCCGAUUGCGAAGGCAGCUUACUAGACUGUGACUGACAUUGAGGCUCGAAAGUGUGGGUAUCAAACAGGAUUAGAUACCCGAGUAGUC